rnacentral:rRNA from 1 species
GACGAACGCUGGCGGCGUGCUUAACACAUGCAAGUCGAACGGUAAGGCCCUUCGGGGUACACGAGUGGCGAACGGGUGAGUAACACGUGGGUGAUCUGCCCUGCACUUCGGGAUAAGCCUGGGAAACUGGGUCUAAUACCGGAUAGGACCACUGCCUGCAUGGGUGGUGGUGGAAAGCUUUUGCGGUGUGGGAUGGGCCCGCGGCCUAUCAGCUUGUUGGUUGGGUGAUGGCCUACCAAGGCGACGACGGGUAGCCGGCCUGAGAGGGUGACCGGCCACACUGGGACUGAGAUACGGCCCAGACUCCUACGGGAGGCAGCAGUGGGGAAUAUUGCACAAUGGGCGCAAGCCUGAUGCAGCGACGCCGCGUGAGGGAUGACGGCCUUCGGGUUGUAAACCUCUUUCAGCACCGACGAAGCGCAAGUGACGGUAGGUGCAGAAGAAGGACCGGCCAACUACGUGCCAGCCGCCGCCGUAC